GAUGAACGCUAGCGGGAGGCCUAACACAUGCAAGCCGAGCGGUAUUGUUUCUUCGGAAAUGAGAGAGCGGCGUACGGGUGCGUAACACGUGUGCAACCUGCCUUUAUCUGGGGGAUAGCCUUUCGAAAGGAAGAUUAAUACUCCAUAAUAUAUUGAACGGCAUCGUCUAAUAUUGAAAGCUCCGGCGGAUAGAGAUGGGCACGCGCAAGAUUAGCUAGUUGGUGAGGUAACGGCUCACCAAGGCGAUGAUCUUUAGGGGGCCUGAGAGGGUGAUCCCCCACACUGGUACUGAGACACGGACCAGACUCCUACGGGAGGCAGCAGUGAGGAAUAUUGGUCAAUGGGUGCAAGCCUGAACCAGCCAUCCCGCGUGAAGGACGACUGCCCUAUGGGUUGUAAACUUCUUCUGUAUAGGGAUAAACCUACCCUCGUGAGGGUAGCUGAAGGUACUAUACGAAUAAGCACCGGCUAACUCCGUGCCAGCCGCCGCAGUAA
rnacentral:rRNA from 1 species